AAGUAAAUAUAUAAAUUUGGUGUAUUUACUGUCUUCUGAUUGGUUAAAAUUAUUAGUUUUAUUUUCAAUGUUGUUAAUUUUGAUGGCGACACGCCCACUCUGACGUUGUGUAUUCAUACGCCAACAUGUGUGUACGUUGUUAUUGUUAAUAUAAAUAAUAUAAAAUGUUCUUUGAGCCUUAUUUUUGAUAGAAAUUUAUUUAUAAUGAAUGGCAAUAAUUUAUUUUGAUUUUAUUGAACC
rnacentral:lncRNA from 1 species